rnacentral:misc_RNA from 1 species
GAUGAAGAACGUAGCGAAAUGCGAUAAGUAAUGUGAAUUGCAGAAUUCAGUGAAUCAUCGAAUCUUUGAACGCACAUUGCGCCCAUUAGCAUUCUAGUGGGCAUGCCUGUUCGAGCGUCAUUUCAACCCUUAAGCCCUGUUGCUUAGCGUUGGGAGCCUACAGUACUGUAGCUCCCCAAAGUUAGUGGCGGAGUCGGUUUCACACUCUAGACGUAGUAAUUUUUUCUCGUCUGUAGUUGAGUCGGUCCCCUGCCGUAAAACACCCAAUUUAUCAAGGUUGACCUCGGAUCAGGUAGGAAUACCCGCUGAACUUAAGCAUAUCAAUAAGCGGAGGA